rfam:Gossypium hirsutum cultivar TM-1 unplaced genomic scaffold scaffold26.1, whole genome shotgun sequence
CGUGAAAAUAUUCAUCCAUUUCUAUAGUUAAAAACUGACGUGGUUGAUAAAUAACCGGUAGUACGUAUUGUAUUACGUGUACCUCAUUUUGACUUACAUGGACCAGUUUUUAUUUGUAGAAAUGAAUAAAAUUUUAAUA